AACGAACGCUGGCGGCGUGCCUAACACAUGCAAGUCGAGCGCGAAAAGGGCAACCUGAGUAGAGCGGCGCACGGGUGCGUAACACGUGGGUAAUCUGCCUCAAAGUUUGGGAUAACCUUCCGAAAGGUUGGCUAAUACCGGAUAAGCUCACGAGGUCUUCGGACUUUGUGGGAAAAGGUGGCCUCUGUUUACAAGCCAUCACUUUGAGAUGAGCCCGCGGCCCAUCAGCUAGUUGGCGGGGGUAAAAGCCCACCAAGGCUACGACGGGUAGCUGGUCUGAGAGGACGAUCAGCCACACUGGAACUGAGACACGGUCCAGACUCCUACGGGAGGCAGCAGUGGGGAAUUUUGCACAAUGGGCGAAAGCCUGAUGCAGCAACGCCGCGUGUGUGAUGAAGGUCUUCGGAU
rnacentral:rRNA from 1 species